AUGUUCUUAGCAGCUGUUUCUUAACUUUUAACUAAAAAUGUUAAGAACGGGUUCUUAAAUAAGGACUUUAAGAACCGGUUCUUACCUUUUUUAGUUAAAAGUUAAGAAACAGCCCGCUAAGAACCU
rfam:Brassica oleracea var. oleracea cultivar TO1000 chromosome C6, whole genome shotgun sequence